GGGUUGUGAGGUUAAGCGACUAAGCGUACACGGUGGAUGCCCUGGCAGUCAGAGGCGAUGAAGGGCGUGCUAAUCUGCGAUAAGCGCCGGUAAGGUGAUAUGAACCGUUAUAACCGGCGAUACCCGAAUGGGGAAACCCAGUGUGAUUCGUCACACUAUCAUUAACUGAAUCCAUAGGUUAAUGAGGCGAACCGGGGGAACUGAAACAUCUAAGUACCCCGAGGAAAAGAAAUCAACCGAGAUUCCCCCAGUAGCGGCGAGCGAACGGGGAGGAGCCCAGAGCCUGAAUCAGCAUGUGUGUUAGUGGAAGCGUCUGGAAAGGCGCGCGAUACAGGGUGACAGCCCCGUACACAAAAGCGCAUGUGCUGUGAGCUCGAUGAGUAGGGCGGGACACGUGGUAUCCUGUCUGAAUAUGGGGGGACCAUCCUCCAAGGCUAAAUACUCCUGACUGACCGAUAGUGAACCAGUACCGUGAGGGAAAGGCGAAAAGAACCCCGGCGAGGGGAGUGAAAAAGAACCUGAAACCGUGUACGUACAAGCAGUGGGAGCCCCACCACCAAAGCAUUCUCUGGUGUUGAAGGCCCUGCAAAGCAGCAUCGCGGUGGCGGAGCGUCGUUUGCGACGCCCAACACACAAAACAAGCGGUGAGUGCUUUGGGGUGGGGUGACUGCGUACCUUUUGUAUAAUGGGUCAGCGACUUAUAUUCUGUAGCAAGGUUAACCGAAUAGGGGAGCCGGAGG
rnacentral:rRNA from 1 species